rnacentral:rRNA from 1 species
UGGCGACCGGCGCACGGGUGAGUAACGCGUAUGCAACCUGCCCGAUACCGGGGUAUAGCCCAUGGAAACGUGGAUUAACACCCCAUAGUACUUUUAUCCUGCAUGGGAUGUGAGUUAAAUGUUCAAGGUAUCGGAUGGGCAUGCGUCCUAUUAGUUAGUUGGCGGGGUAACAGCCCACCAAGACGAUGAUAGGUAGGGGUUCUGAGAGGAAGGUCCCCCACAUUGGGACUGAGACACGGCCCAA